UACAGAGACUGCAAGCGUUAUUCGGAUUCACUGGGCGUAAAGGGCGCGUAGGCGGCCUGGCAAGUGGAAGGUGAAAUCCCUCGGCUUAACCCGAGGAACUGCCCUCCAAACUGCUUGGCUUGAGACCGGGAGAGGUGAGUGGAAUUCCCAGUGUAGCGGUGAAAUGCGUAGAUAUCAGGAGGAACACCAAUAGCGAAGGCAGCUCGCUGGGACGGUACUGACGCUAAGGCGCGAAAGCGUGGGGAGCGAACAGG
rnacentral:rRNA from 1 species